GCCCGCCACCAUUGUGUGCAGCAACUAGGCUUCUUGAUCGUCCCGCAGUGCUGUAUCGCAAGAAUCCGGCGAGGUUUUGGAACGCGCCCAGUGGGAAGAACUUCUUUAACACCGAACUACUACUGUCAACACCAAGCCAUCCUGUUUCGACGACUCGCGUCAGUCGUAAUGCACCGGCCUCAAUCUGAUGCCAUCGCACUGCACCAGAGUUAUAACACGACUGGCCACGGAUCUCAGCACGCAGCUCCGCAAGACGACCGGAGUGGCCGCGCUCAGAGACCAGCAACCGUGUGGGAACGAAUCUCAAAGUACUCGCGGGUGCACGAAACACGGCAGGUAUACAUAUCGGGAUCUUUCGUUCUGGCGGCUGCCACACGGCGCAGUUCUCUCUGCCCAGCGACGAUUGCCCGCGAGCCUUUGUCAACGGGACAGCGGACAGCGGAGAGCUGCGCAGAAGGAGCGACCCUUGUCAUUCUGGUCGUGGAUCCCCCGGGGCUUCCACGACAUCACUUCUCGCUCCACUUGACUUCUCCAAGACGAUCAUUGACAGGGGACGGAACGAGCCGGGAGCUGCCGCCGCGUGUUGUGACCCCGGGCGAUGCCUCCGCCGGCCCCGGGUUCUCGAAGCCUCCGCCCACCGCCUGAUCCUCGCGGGAACACUGCGCAGCGCAACCGCGUCUCCAGCUGUGUGGCAUGGCGCAAGGGCGACGUGUCUCGUCUUGAGUUCACCCACAGCUUUUGCGUGGCUGGCUUGGCGCGCAGGGUCGACGAGCCCGCAGUCGUCGCCUUCCUCGCGUUGCCCCUUCGCGCGGCCAGCCCCACAAGUACGGGUGUUUCCCUCAACGAGGACCAUGGCAGAGUAAUGGUCCCGGAGUAAUUUCUCGUAGCUCUCAAGUAGUACGAGGUCGUCCUGGCAAAUAUUGUGGAGGUUAUAGGCUUCCAUAAAAUCGGGUCGCCGAAGGCUGGCUCGGAAGCCAGGAUGCUCCCGCGAAAUUUUGCCGACGGCGUGCCCCUCUAAGCACUGGCGGAUAACGAAGCGAGCUGGUGGCGUGGAGUUUUCACCUUUGCUUGUUUCCGUGCAGUCAUGUGGCAACUCGAUUGGAGCUUCAUCUUUAUUAGCGUGGGAUCUUGUUUUUUCUUGCUUUUGUAAAAAUAUAAUUCCGUAUAUGCUAUAUUCGUUGAUUGGCUGGAAUUUUUCUUUUUACUCAGCGUUGUUACUUUCUUAUUGGAAUUCACGCAGUCGAGUCAUGCCGUCAUAUAUGUAGCGCACAAUAAACAAAGGAAAAGGAAAAAAAGGCUCGCACAUUACGCUUGCUCCGACACCGUA